AAGAUUUUAAGUUAAUUAAACUGUUAACCUUCAAAGUUAAAAAUACUUUAGUAGUAAAUCUUA
rnacentral:tRNA from 1 species